rnacentral:misc_RNA from 1 species
GGGAAUCAGAAUAUCUUAGGGGAAAAAAAAAGGAAGGAAAAUGAACUUGUGUUUCAGUUGAUGCUUCAUGAUUGAGGAUAACGGGUUUAUAAUAUUUAACCUUCAUGAAAAAAAUGAACAUAAAAGAACUUCAAAACAUGUUGGAUAACAUUCCUAGUCCUUGAGGAUUUGCGAAUUAGUUGCUUUUUACUAUAAGCACUGAUGGGUCAGUCACCUUAAUGUGUCUUGCAAUCCUCCCUUUGUAACCAACUUCAUCCUUGCCCCCCUUUUUUUAAAUAGAAUGCCAAUUCUUCAUACCUGGAAAUUGCAAGUUUUGUUCUCCUUCAUGCUGUUUGCACUCGUAUGUAUUUG